AGAGACUUAGGAUAGCCUAGACCAAAAGCCUUCAAAGCUUUAAGCAGGAGUGAGAAUCUCCUAGUCUCUG
rnacentral:tRNA from 1 species